rnacentral:rRNA from 1 species
ACGCUGGCGGCAGGCUUAACACAUGCAAGUCGAACGGUAACAGGGAUUAGCUUGCUAAUUUGCUGACGAGUGGCGGACGGGUGAGUAAUGCUUGGGAAUCUGGCUUAUGGAGGGGGAUAACUACGGGAAACUGUAGCUAAUACCGCGUAAUAUCGGAAGAUUAAAGGGUGGGACUUUCGAGCCACCUGCCAUAAGAUGAGCCCAAGUGGGAUUAGGUAGUUGGUUAGGUAAAGGCUGACCAAGCCGACGAUCUCUAGCUGGUCUGAGAGGAUGACCAGCCACACUGGAACUGAGACACGGUCCAGACUCCUACGGGAGGCAGCAGUGGGGAAUAUUGCACAAUGGGGGGAACCCUGAUGCAGCCAUGCCGCGUGAAUGAAGAAGGCCUUCGGGUUGUAAAGUUCUUUCGGUGACGAGGAAGGUUGAUAGGUUAAUAGCCUAUCAAAUUGACGUUAAUCACAGAAGAAGCACCGGCUAACUCCGUGCCAGCAGCCGCGGUAAUACGGGGGGUGCGAGCGUUAAUCGGAAUAACUGGGCGUAAAGAGCACGCAGGCGGUGACUUAAGUGAGAUGUGAAAGCCCCGAGCUUAACUUGGGAAUUGCAUUUCAUACUGGGUCGCUAGAGUACUUUAGGGAGGGGUAGAAUUCCACGUGUAGCGGUGAAAUGCGUAGAGAUGUGGAGGAAUACCGAAGGCGAAGGCAGCCCCUUGGGAAUGUACUGACGCUCAUGUGCGAAAGCGUGGGGAGCGAACAGGAUUAGAUACCCUGGUAGUCCACGCUGUAAACGAUGUCGAUUUGGGGAUUGGGCUUUGAGCUUGGUGCCCGUAGCUAACGUGAUAAAUCGACCGCCUGGGGAGUACGGCCGCAAGGUUAAAACUCAAAUGAAUUGACGGGGGCCCGCACAAGCGGUGGAGC